UGUGCAGUUCGGUGGUGGGGCGCACCUGCCUUGUAAGCAGGCUGUCGAAGGUCCGAAUCCUUCAAGGC
rnacentral:tRNA from 1 species